rnacentral:rRNA from 1 species
GGACCUGCAUGUGUAGUAUAACCUUUAGUACGUGUGAAACUGCGAAUGGGCUCAUUAAAACAGUCAUAAUUUACUUGAUAGUACCUAUUACUUGGAUACCCCUGGUAAUUCUAGAACUAAUACAUGCGCACACAUCCCACUUUUUGAAAGAGGGGAUUUAUUAUCCACAACCAACCGGGCUUGCCCGUUUUGGUGACUCAUAAUAACUUUUCUGAUCUCAUGCAUCUGCGGCGACAUUUCAUUCUCAUUUCUGCCCUAUCAACUUUCUACAGUAUGGUAUAGGGCUACCGUGGUGUUAACGGGUAACGGAGAAUUAUGGGUCGAUUCCGGAGAGGGAGCCUGAGAAACGGCUACCACAUCCCAGGAAAGCACCACGCGCGCAAAUUACCCAAUCCUGACUCACGGAGGUAGUGACAAGAAAUAUCAAUGGGCGAUCCAUUUGGGUCGGCCACUUGGAAUGAGAACAGUUUAAAACACUUAUCGAGUAUCCAUUGGAGGGCAAGUCUGGUGCCACCACCCGCGGUAAUUCCAGCUCCAAUAGCGUAUAUAAAAGUUGUUGCAGUUAAAAAGCUCGUAGUCAGAGUUGGGGCGUUUCUGGGUGUGCGCGCCCAUGGGGCGCGCGCUCGCCGGCGUCUUCCUCGGGGUGAGGCCUGUGGUGCUUUACUGCGCUGUGUGUCGAGCGCCGAUUUUUACUGUGAAAAAAAUUACAGUGUGCGCACCAGGCGUGUGCUCUGAAUACAUUAACAUGGCGAUAUUGUUAUGAAGACUAUUUGCUUUAUUCGAUGGGUUGGGUACGCUCCACACGCAUAGGUCAAGGAUGAAACGGGCCGGAGUGCACUCGUUAUUUCCAUUGUCCA